GUAACAACGAAGAUGAUUCUGGCCC
rnacentral:rasiRNA from 1 species